UGAGCAAUCUGCCCUUCUCUUUGGAAUAAGCGUGGGAAACCGCGUCUAAUGCCGAAUACGACCUCCUUUCGCAUGAUCGGAGGUGGAAAGCUCCGGCGGAGAAGGAUGAGCUCGCGGCCUAUCAGCUAGUUGGUGUGGGUAAUGGCCCACAAGGCGACGACGGGUAGCCGGCCUGAGGAGGGUGACCGGCCACACGUGGGACUGAGACACCGGCCCAGACCUCCGUACGGGAGNAGCG
rnacentral:rRNA from 1 species